rnacentral:lncRNA from 1 species
AGUAUCCAUAUCUGAUAUGUAGUAGAUACAAAUGCAUGAGAAGCAAAUUGAAGUAUUAGUGCUUCAUAGUUCAUGGUUUUCUUCAGACAAUCUUGCAGGACUAUAGAUUCUCAAAACAACAAUAAAGUUAUCAUUUUCCUUCAAUCUAUUACAAAUCUCCUAAGACCUCUCUUCGCAACCACAUUUAGCAUACAUUUUAAAGAAGUACAAACUGCAAUAUCAACUACAAUUUUGUUUUCCAAUUUUCAACGAAUAUUAUCCCUUUUAACAUUUGUGACUAGGGGUGGGUGUUUGGGCUAAAGCUGGCAGGNUACUCUUAUAAUCUGUAACCUGUGUGACCACGAAUCCAUGUCUGCCUGUGACCUGUCUAAAGCCCUCUACUAGACCCAACUCGAGACACAUCUCCAUCAAUAAGUUACACAAUUAGAAUCAAACGAAAGCUAAAGCAUGUUGGAUGUUUCACUGCCUUGUUGUAGGCCAACACAGAACGUGUGGGCCUGAGUCUGCUUCAAUUGGAACAUGGAUAUGCAGCUUUAGAGAAGAAAAAUGUAAGCUUCUUUUACAAGAGGGUGGUGAUAUUGAAGGAUUAAACCACAAAGCAACUACAAAUUAAAUAGCUUGAUGUGCUGCACUGGUCUCCAAACUCAAGAACCACAAUCAUGAUCCCUUUCUCCUUCAAACUGCUGCACGCUCCAGCUGUAAUAAUUUUCCCCACUCUUUGCUUCUUUUAAUGGAUAGCCUACAAAGAAGAAAUGUGUAUGUUGGACCAAAAAUUUCAUUGAAAGGCAUUUGCUUGACCCAUUUUCCAUUGGGAUUUACAGAAUAGGUCACGUUACGGAUUUGAGGUUGAUUGUGUAACGAAUACAAAACAGUUAAGGAGUUUUCUGUGCAUUCUGAAAAAGGAGAAUUAAAAAACUACGUAGCAGAGAAUUUACUAGAAGACACUAGAAGACAAUUCACUAAAGUGCUGUCCAUCUCUAUCCAUGUCUUACAGAUUAUUCUAGUUCAUGUCAAACUCCUCUACAUCAAAAGUGCUCCACAUGGACAGGUUUCUAACCUAUGAAGCUCAAACACGCCUCUUAAAUGGUGUGCCCUUGUGUUUGACACGUAUUGGACACAAACACUCGUAGGACAUAGUGAGGUAUCCAAUUGAAAAAACAUUUUUUUAGGUCUAUGCUAUAAUUCUGAGAUGACUUCAACAUAAUAUUAAUGUAGUGAUUUUCUAACUCAAACUGAUUGUGUAAGUUUGUAUUAUAAUCAUAGAAAUUAGGAAUUGAUCCUAUACAAUAAAGAAUAUUUAGAUUGUAUAUGUAUUGUCAGGACAUUUUUAUUUAUUAUGUUAUCAUAUCUUUAUAUAAUAUGAAAAUUUUUGAAGUUGUUAAUUUGUCUUUAAAUGAAUCUGUUAAUCUGUUUUUUUCAAUGAUGAUCAAGAGAGGGAUGAAAUGUCUUAAAUUAUAUCCUCUUUUCGCUUUUUGGAUUUUAGAUAGACGAAUUAGAUUAAUUUUUGUAAUGUGUUACUAUAUAUGUUUAGAUUGUUUUGUUAUAUUUGACUAACUUUGUUUAUAGAUGAUUUUGAAUAUAUAAUUCUUGGUUGUCAAUUUAAAUAAUACAUAAUGAUGUAAUAUGUGUAUGUAUGUGUCGUUGUUUCCUACAUUUUAGAGAUUAUACUUGUAGUGUCCGUGGUCAUGUAGUGUCUGUAUUCAUGUGGUGUCUCGUCUCCAUGGUGGUAUCCGUGCUACAUAGUUUCCAAUACCCACUCUUCCCAUGGGAUUGCAGGUUGAGUAAAACUUUUGGCAACACCUCAAAUGAUCUCUAUGUCUAUUGUGAUUUUUGAUCUAUGGAACAUGGAAACGUGGAAAGUGUUGCUUAGUUUUUACUACUUAGGGCUUCACUUUUUAAAGUAACUCACUACUGGAAAGCUGCAUCUCAGUUGUUGAAAUGACUGAGCUUCAGAGAUUUUACUAUCGAUAGAGACUGUUGAUCUAACAAACAUAAGCGGAAAAAUAAUAAAAGCUGAAUUAUGUGAUUAUAAUAUUUGGAUAUUUUCCAAAUGAUAUGAGAUACUUAGGUUAUUCACCUUAAAGAAAAUAUUGAUGAUAGGUGUAAAUAAUGAUGUCGGAUACCAGGUUCUUGUAGCCAGAACUUAGAAUUGUGGCCAAUUGUCCAUGUAAAUUAUUGUGUGUACAACUUAUGUUAACUAUAUUUCAGUCUGAAAUUGCAGAUUACCGAGUCAACUUUGUUAAUUCAAUAUAUUGUGAUUCCAAGAAAAAUAUGGAAAGUUUUUUGCCCUCAAAUAUAUGAAAUUUAUCUUGUUAUUGAAAGUGGAAAUCUCUUGAUGUAUUCCGUAGGCACAGUUUCCCACUUGCAAGUCUUUUUAUUGUACCUGUCUAUUUAUUCGCUUGUCAACCGAACUUUUAUUUCACUAAAUAAAAAUCUGCUUUCUCAGCUAUUAUUCUGCUUCUUACUGGACAUUUCUUGACUUGAUCAUGGCACCAAAUCGGGUUGUAAGAGAAUGGGUUAUUCUCUACCCCUACUAACUUUGGAGUUAAGUCAACAGCAAAAAGCUUAGUGUAUAGGAAUGUGCUGAGUGAAGAUGGUUAAUUAAUAUUGAAAAAUAAGUACAAAAAAUGGAAAAUAGUGCUUUAAAGGAUNAAAAAAGUGUGCAUGGCUGACGCAUAUAAAGUUAUGCAGAACAGGUUAGUAACACUUGUAUUUUCUUAGUUCAAAAAGAGGCAUAAAAUAUUCAUUCAAAUAUUAUUUAGUCUUUUCUUUGACACUUGAAUUACAGUUCUCUGCAAUUUUUAUUUCUUUUACCUUCCAAUAGAUUUUGAAGGGUUGGGCUAGAUAGUGCNAAUAUUAAUGCCAAAGAUGUGCUUUUCUAUUGUUUACAAUUGUCUCAUGCCCAGGAAAGAGUUUAUCUUGAAUCCUUAAAUAGCUUGGUUUUUAGUUUUACGUAGCCCAAAUGUUUGAGUUUCCAUAAAAUUGUAAAACUGUUAUAAGCUUGUGAGCAUUUGGAUUUAGUUGAAGUUUGAUUCUCAGAUUCUGAGACGGAAGGCACAUACUCCUACUACGUUUAUAGGCCCAUCUACUGGGUAAGUUCAACCUAUUUUAUUUGAAUUGCCAAUUUGGAGAAAUGUGUUCUAACAUUGAUUCUCACGUUAGAUGUUGAAUGUUUCAACAAUAAAUCACCUCGUAUCUAUUUUUGGCUAAGAAGAUAGUUAUGAUGGGGAAGAAUGCGGCAGGGUUAAGGGUUAUGAGGUUUUUACUUAUAACUGAUUUAGCUGUCUUAGUGCUGGUUAAAAGUUGGAAUAGCUACAUCUCUCAUUUAUUUUCAUGAUUAAAAGUUGUUAAGUGUUUGUUUUGAUAAAGUUCAACUUUUGUUUGUUCAUCCUGUUGAGUUUCCCUGUGAGCAUAUUUUUUUUUUUUUUUCUUUUUUUCCAUAGGCCUGAUAUGCUUUUCUGUGAGAUUUUUUGUAUGACUUAUGCGAGUCCUUUUGUUUGACUCUCGAGUUAACAGAUUCACGGAGUUGAGACUGGUUAUCAGGCUAGCUCCAAUGGUCUUUAUUUCUUUAUUAUUUCACUAGUUUACUUGUGUUGUGGAAACUUGGAACAACAAUAUAGAUGGCAGAAGAUAUUAAAAUCAAGUCAUUAGGGUGGAGACGAGGAAAUUUAGUAGCAACACAUCUAUAUAAAUGUCCAAGCCUUAUCUUCGUUGAAUUGAGAAUAAAAUGAUUGUGAUUUUAUUUAUGUUACAAACAAGAGCAUUCCGUAAUGUAGGGAAGUGAAGUGUUUACGGGGCCAAAAAAGAUUUUACAAUUUGUAAUGUGAACUGGUUUCUUGUUGGUAUUUUACUACAUAUGUUUUCUCUCUUUUUUCGGUUGACAAAUGCUGAGGUUCUGAAUCAAGGUAUUAGAAAACAGCACAAUCAAAGAGAGAAAUGAAGAGGUGUUGCAUAUGUUUGGAUUUGUUGUGACGUGCGAAAAAUGUAUGUGGAAAGUGCAUGCAGAUUAUCCCUUCGAGGGCUUGAGCAUAAGAAGCAGGACAAAUGUCCAUCUUACAUUACAGCAACAAGACAGCUCUAUUUUGUUAUCAUAAUAUUGUUAAUUUUAUGACUAUUUUGUUUAGAAGAUCAAGUUUAUUAGAUCUGUUCCUAUAUUAUUCAGAUACUAUAAGUAUAUGAUUUAGCUGCCGAAUUAUCUGCUAUUGCGAUACUUAUUCAUAGGGUACUUAUAUUAUUAUGCUUUGCUGUUUUUUAAAUUUAACGAAGUUGUAGAUGUGAUGUGUCAUAUCUUAGCAAAGUUAAUAUUAUCUCUUGCUUAAUUCUUUCCUUUUUUUUCAUCAUUUUGUAUGAUAUUUAUUUAUUUAUUUGAUAAAUAAUGCAUGUAGUAUUCUUUUCUGUGAUGAACUAUAAGCUAUGUGCAGGAAAAAAAUUAUGCUGUCUCAUUCCAUAGUCACUUUUGAAUGGACUGCAUUUUUGUAUAUAUAUACUCUUUUUUCUUCUACAUAUGUAAUUCUCUGUUGCAGCCACAUCUUGUGUUUUGAUCAAUUUUAUAUCUUUGCCUUGCAGAAAAAACACGAC